rnacentral:lncRNA from 7 species
AUCUUAGCGGUCACAACCUGGAUGAUGGCUGCCAGCACAGAUGGCUCUUGAAGCUCUGGGAAGAGGCUGAGCUUCACAGAACUGCUUCUUGGUGGGAACCUGCAGAAAUGGAUGGCAUGCCCAUAACCCCAUGGGCACACAGGUAGAGAACACCAUCAGGUUGCACAGAGAGCAUAACCUUUACAGCAAAGAGCUUUCAAAGGAUUUCCAUCUACUGCUACUAAUGCUAUUUCACAACUUUUGGAAGAGAAGAAAUUGCAUCAUAUGGGAUCUGGAAAAAGCUAAUUCCAGCUGAAAUGCAUUUGGCACAACAUUGAAUGACUUAGCUGGAGAAGAGGGAAUGGAGAGAUGAAGAACGUGUCCAGGAAUAAAGACAGAAGUGGGAAAAGUUUUUAAGGACAUUCUCCUAUAUUUCUGCUGCAGUAUUGCACUUUCACACCAGCAAAUAUGAUUCAUCCACUUUAUGUAUUUGUGACUAGAUGUGAAAUUAUCCCUCCUUCUUUUUCUUGUAAUGUUUUUCUUCAUUUCAAUAUCAGAACAACGUAUCAUCACACCUUUUUGUUUGUUUGUUUGUUUGUUUGCUUUUUUCCCUGUACAUGUACACCAUAAGCAUUUUCAAUAGCGCAGGUAUCUUUACAAGAUUUUGUUUCACAAAGAGAUUGUAUACUUAAUUAAAGAGAAAACAACAGACUUGCAUACAGCAACACAUCCACACAUAUCCACUCACAAAACAAUAAAUGAGAGUAAGUCUUCUGUGACAGCACUAUUUUCCACUGUCUAGAUGAUUAGAGAGUCCAGUGCUUUUUAUCAAAGACAACCUCUUUCUCUCCUUUCGAGCUUUAAAUAAAUACUUGUGCUAAUUGCAGAUACUAGCAAAAUGCAGCACCAAAACUGGCAUGGAUGUGAAAGGGAAUAAACAAGCUAUGGUAGAUUAAACAUUGUUUUUCUGUCACUGUCAGAAUGUAUAAUAAAGAGUCCCAUG